rnacentral:lncRNA from 1 species
GAGAACUUGCUUUUAAUAUACAAAAGUAUUAAAGUGAUGUGCUUAACCAAAGUAGUAUUUACUGAAACCUUUCGAGACAGUAUGGUAUGCAUUGACAUCCAUGCUUUUUCAGAUUGUGGCAAGUUUCUGGUGAUGCCAUUCACCAUUAGUUGAAGUCGAUUAUUACAUAAAUGAUGUCCUUUUGCUUGCGGUUAUGUCCAUAUUUUAGCAACUCUUGUUGAGUGUAAUGAGUCCAAAUCUUAUAUUUGGGUAAUAGGGAGUUCUGAUAGGAACAUCGGCUUUUGGGAAACCGUAUCACUUCCGGGAGAGAGGUUAUAAAUAUUCCAUACCUUCAUUUGUUUUGAAUGUAGAUAAGAGAAAGUUGAAGCACUUUUAAGUUGUUUUUCUUUUGGUUGUGGAUUGUAGAACUAGUUUCAACAAGGUAUGCAAGUACUGGUUUGAUCUCCUGAAAGAAGAACAAUGAAAUUAAGCCUUUUGGUAGGAGUGAAUGAGCUACACGGUAUUCAUCCAUGAGAAAGGAGCUCCAAUAAUUAACUGACUAUUGAGUAUGCCACAAAAUGGUUAAGUCAAAAUAGUAAUUAAUUACUCAAAAAACAUAAUUCGGAGAAUCUCAUAUUCAAUAAACUUAUUUACUCGGGUUCAAAAUUUUCAAAUACCAAAAUUAAACCCAAUUUCAUAAAAUCAAAGAUUAAAACAUUCAACCCGAAUGGCAUGGGUUGAAAACCACAAUUAACUCAAAUUUCGUUGAGUUAACCCCACUACAAACCACUAUUAUAAAUAUAAACCAGUCGCACAGUAAAUUGACUUUUAUCACAACAUGCAUAUAUGACCAACAUUUAACCUCCGCUAGUAGGGCCACGGUCACAACAUAGUCAUACUAUGAGACAAAAUAAAACAUAGAUGGUCAGCCAUCUUUAUAAUAAUAUUUCAUUAUAACAGUCAAGUUUGUUGCAGACUCGAUUUUUUAUAUUUUAGUUUUACCUUUUAUAACUCAUCUCUCUAUAACAACCUAUUAUAUCAAAUUUUAGUAAAAUUGAAUCUAUUCCAAGCGAAAUAAAAAUAAUAAAUAUUAUUUCAAUAAAAUGUUUUAAAUUUUGUAUAAAAAUAUAUUAAUCAAAUUUUAUUAAAUAUUUGAUUUAAAUCUAACUAAUUAAUAAUACCAUUAACAUGAUCUAAAUCUCAAAUGUUUUUGUAGGUAUACCUCUCUAAAUAUCUAAAAUAUUGACAAUACAAAGAAAUGGUAACAUUUUAUUCCAAAAUUCAAUCGCAUUUCAUGUUCUCUUUCAAAUCAAAUUACAUAGAAAAUCAAUUUUUAUAUAAACAAUUUACUUAUAACUGAAUAGAAACGACAUUUAAAAAUUAAAUAUUCAUGUUGUAAAGUUCAUAACAAAUUAUUUUUGAAUGAAUUAAUGACAUAUUUGAAAACUCAAUUUUAAAAGGGAACUACAUUCUAAAAUUUCAUAUAAGAAUAUAUCACAUACAUAAUUUGGAUGCUUAAUCUAAUUUAUGAAACCAAAUACCAAAACAUAUACACACACACACAAAAUCUAAGAAAUAUUAAAUUGAUUUUUAACCUGUUAAAACAUCAAAGGGAUAUCAAACCACUUACUUGAACUGAAACCCAAAAUCAAAAAUUAUUUUUUCUGAAAUUCCUUCUUUCCAACAACUUUAGAUUACCAAAACAACUUAUUCAAAAUCAUAUAAAUAGGCGUUCUAUAAACUAAUCACCCAAAGUAACUCAAAUCCUUAUAGAUAAUAGCUUACCCAACUUGCAUAAGAUUCACUGAAUUAAUCAUACCAACUUGAAAUUUUGAAUAUUUAAAAACUAGACUUAAAUGAAAUUUCAUAUAUAUAAAAUCUCGGUAGGAUUCAGACCCAAAUCCAUAUUUCUUGUCUCUUAAUCAAUAGAAAUCAAAAGAGAGAAUUUACUUACUUUAAUAAUUUCAUUGGAAGAAUAUAGCGUUAAUCUUCAUCCUUCUUCUCCUCUUUUAGGGUUUUUCCGCUGCUUAGGUUUCUUUUUUUUUUUUUCCUUCUUUUUUCUGUUGCACUUGUGGGCUACACCGGUUUAUAGGCUUUUGAGCUCAACAUUACGACUUAACUAAAAUAAGUUUAAAUGUGCUUGAACGAACUCCACCAAUUGAAGAAGUUAAAUUCGUAAAUUUAUUGCAACAUUUUUUACUAUAUAUAUAUUUUUUAUUAAUUAGUAUAAAUUUGAGCUCAAAUAAAAAUAAUUACGAUAGUG